rnacentral:rRNA from 1 species
CCCUUAGAUGAUUUGGGCUGCACGCGCGCUACACUGACCCUAACAAUGAGCAACUGUCUGGCCUGAGAUGGCUGGGUAGCCUUUUCAACCCAUGUCAUGAUUGGGCUAGAUUUUUGUAAGUCUUGAUCUCUAACGAGGAAUCCCUAGUAUGUGUGAAUCAUCAAUCCAUGCAGAUUAUGUCCCUGCCCUUUGUACACACCGCCCGUCGCUCCCACUGAUUGGGUGAUCCGGUGAGCUGUUCGGCCAUAGCAAUGUUUCUUGAGCAGGGCAAUGAAUGUUUCGCAAACCUUGCCACUUAGAGGAAGGAGAAGUCGUAACA